UCAGGAUGGCCGAGCGGUCUAAGGCGCUGCGUUCAGGUCGCAGUCUCCCCUGGAGGCGUGGGUUCGAAUCCCACUUCUGACAAACGUAAGAAGUGGAUUUAUCCAGAUACAGAGAGAGGCACACUCCACAGACAGUUGGGGCCAUUGCAGAGAACGAGGAAACUGAAGCUCAGCGAUCUUCUAAGUUACCGCCCCAUCAUUUCAGAAGAGAAGACCAGAUCAAUUGAGUCAUAAAAGGAUCUCCUCCUUCCACGCACUCCCGCAUUUCACCCAGACCCUCCCCUCAAGGAUGCUCGGUCAUCUGGGACUCCUUGGGAGUCUCGACACGGCGAUGACGAUCCCGCUUUAAGGGGAGACAUCAGAGAGGUGCAGGGGCUCGCCCAAGAGCACACAGCGCUAGGGAGACAUCCAGGAGGGAUGUGGGUAGUUUUGCAAGCGGCCAGCAGUUUAUCCCGAGGCUCGGAAGCCAACGGCGAGGAGGGCGCGGGGCGAUCAAAGCCGCCCCGAAUGCGGGGGAAAUUGCCAGCA